AUGGUAGGAUAGAGGCCUACCAUGGUGGUAACGGGUAACGGGGUGUUAGGGCACGACACCGGAGAGGGAGCCUGAGAAACGGCUACCACAUCCAAGGAAGGCAGCAGGCGCGCAAAUUACCCGAUCCCGACACGGGGAGGUAGUGACAAUAAAUAACAAUACAGGGUUCUUUGAAUCUUGUAAUUGGAAUGAGUACAAUUUAAAUCUCUUAACGAGGAACAAUUGGAGGGCAAGUCUGGUGCCAGCAGCCGCGGUAAUUCCAGCUCCAAUAGCGUAUAUUAAAGUUGUUGCAGUUAAAAAGCUCGUAGUUGAAUUUCGGGAUCAAUACGUCGGUCGUGCUUUCGGGUACGUACUGGCGUCAUUGGUUUCUCCUUUCUGACGAACCAUGAUGUCAUUAAUUUGGUGUUAUGGGGAGUUAGGACUGUUACUUUGAAAAAAUUAGAGUGUUUAAAGCAGGCAUUAGCUUGAAUACAUUAGCAUGGAAUAAUGAAAUAGGACGUUCGAUCCUAUUUUGUUGGUUUCUAGGAUCAACGUAAUGAUUAAUAGGGAUAGUUGGGGGCAUUAGUAUUCAAUUGUCAGAGGUGAAAUUCUUGGAUUUAUUGAAGACUAACUACUGCGAAAGCAUUUGCCAAGGAUGUUUUCAUUAAUCAAGAACGAAAGUUAGGGGAUCGAAGACGAUCAGAUACCGUCGUAGUCUUAACCAUAAACUAUGCCGACUAGGGAUCGGAUGAUGUUAAUUUUUUAAUGACUCAUUCGGCGCCUUACGGGAAACCAAAGUGUUUGGG
rnacentral:rRNA from 1 species